rnacentral:lncRNA from 1 species
UGGCUGGCUGCUCCAAGUGCAGGGCCCGCCAAGACCACGCCCACCCGGAACUCCAGCUGACAGCGAGUGGGAACGCAGCGAGUGGGAACGCAGCCCCAGUUGCCACUCACGCCUCUCCCUCCACACCUCCCUGCAAGCUGAGGGAGCCGGCUCCGGCCUUGGCCAGCCCAGAAAGGGGCUCCCACAGUGCAGCGGUGGGCUGAAGGGCUCCUCAAGUGCCCCCAAAGUGGGAGCCCAGGCAGAGGAGGCCCCGAGAGCGAGCAAGGGCUCUGAGGACUGCCAGCACGCUGUCACCUCUCAAAACCACCUCACUUGGUUGUAGGAGGUCAUUGAAGAUUGCCUGGAGGAAGCCAUGUUCAAUGGGCACAUUUGUAGAAUGAUGUGAGCCAGAGUAUGGGGUACUGAAGCAGAAAAGGAUGCCCUUCAAUUUGAUAGAAAAGCACUACAUGAAUCCCUGUAAGACUCCACAAAUUAAACUAGGAGCUGUGUCAACCUGCUCUCUGUUUUACAUCCAUGUGGGAGGGUCUACGAGCACUCAUGUGGACAGUGUCUCUGUGCAUCUGUUUAAGAAAUUUUUGCCUACACUGAAGUCACAAGAAUGCUCUCCAAUGUGUUCUUUAAAAAGUCUUAUAGCUUUACUUUUAACAUUUAGACCCGUGAUAAGUUUGGAAUUAUUUUGUGUUUACAGUGUUAGAUAGGGUUAUCUAACUAACACAAUCAUUUUUUGAAAAUAUUUCUGUACAUGACUUUACUCUUGCCUUUGUAAUAAAUCAUUUGAUUAUAUAGGUAUGAGUCUGCCUCUGGAAUCUAUUUUGUUCUAUUGGUCAGUGUCUAUUGUUUUAACUACUUCACAGACAUUAAGCACCUUUAUCCUCACAAUGACACAGAAAUAAUUAUUAUUAACCCCAUAUUAUAAUUAAGGAAACUGAGGCAGUGAGAUGUUAAGUAACUUGGCCAAAGUCACAUUGCUGAGGCAACAGCAAAUCCAGUCUUUUAAGCUCUGGUAGAAAAAAAUGCAACCUGAGCUAUGGGUUGAAAUGGGAAGAGAGUAGAUUGAAGAAAUGAUUGUGAGAAAAUAAAAACUCAAUAGCAAAAAAAAUUUACACACUAAUAGUUGUGAAGUAUAAAAUUAAAAUGGCAUAAAACUCAGUGUUCUUUCAACUUCAUCAAUCUGUAUUUCCAUCUCAAGAUAAACCUUAUCCUUAUCUUUUGAGACCUUAACUCACUCACCUAUAGCAUUUCUGUAGAGAAAUUAUAUACUUUAUAUGGUCACCCUUGAAGGAGAGGUCAAAUAAAAUACUGAAAAGUAACUGUAGAUAUUAG